UACGAAGGGGGCUAGCGUUGCUCGGAAUCACUGGGCGUAAAGCGCACGUAGGCGGAUUGCUAAGUCAGGGGUGGAAUCCUGGAGCUCAACUCCAGAACUGCCUUUGAUACUGGCAACCUUGAGUCCGGGAGAGGUGAGUGGAACUGCGAGUGUAGAGGUGAAAUUCGUAGAUAUUCGCAAGAACACCAGUGGCGAAGGCGGCUCACUGGCCCGGUACUGACGCUGAGGUGCGAAAGCGUGGGGAGCAAACAGG
rnacentral:rRNA from 1 species